rnacentral:rRNA from 1 species
UACGAAGGGGGCUAGCGUUGCUCGGAAUCACUGGGCGUAAAGCGCACGUAGGCGGAUUGCUAAGUCAGGGGUGAAAUCCUGGAGCUCAACUCCAGAACUGCCUUUGAUACUGGCGAUCUUGAGUCCGGGAGAGGUGAGUGGAACUGCGAGUGUAGAGGUGAAAUUCGUAGAUAUUCGGAAGAACACCAGUGGCGAAGGCGACUCACUGGACAUGUAUUGACGCUGAGGUGCGAAAGCGUGGGGAGCAAACAGG